AAAAUUAGAGUGUUCAAAGCAGGCAGAUCCAAUUUUCUGCCACCGAAUACAUUAGCAUGGGAUAAUGGAAUAGGACCCUGUCCUCCUAUUUUCAGUUGGUUUUGGCAGCGCGAGGACUAGGGUAAUGAUUAAUAGGGAUAGUUGGGGGCAUUAAUAUUUAAUUGUCAGAGGUGAAAUUCUUGGAUUUAUGAAAGAUUAACUUCUGCGAAAGCAUCUGCCAAGGAUGUUUUCAUUAAUCAAGAACGAAAGUUAGGGGAUCGAAGACGAUCACAUACCGUCGUAGUCUUAACCAUAAACGAGGCCGACCAGCGAUUAGGAGACGUUGAAUACAAAACACCACCAUCGGCGCGGUCGUCCUUGGCGUCUGUCCCUUUCAACGGGGGCAGGCGCGAGGCCGGUUUAGCCCGGUGGCACCGGUGAA
rnacentral:rRNA from 1 species